UGGGGAAUUUUGGACAAUGGGGGAAACCCUGAUCCAGCCAUUCCGCGUGAGUGAAGAAGGCCUUCGGGUUGUAAAGCUCUUUCGGCAGGAACGAAACGGUUUGGGCUAAUACCCCAGACUACUGACGGUACCUGAAGAAGAAGCACCGGCUAACUACGUGCCAGCAGCCGCGGUAAUACGUAGGGUGCGAGCGUUAAUCGGAUUUACUGCGCGUAAAGCAUGCGCAGGCGGCGGUUCAAGUCAGGUGUGAAAUCCCCGAGCUUAACUUGGGAAUUGCGCUUGAAACUAGAUCGCUAGAGUACGGCAGAGGGGGGUAGAAUUCCACGUGUAGCAGUGAAAUGCGUAGAGAUGUGGAGGAACACCGAUGGCGAAGGCAGCCCCCUGGGCCUGUACUGACGCUCAUGCAUGAAAGCGUGGGGAGCAAACAGGAUUAGAUACCCACGUAGUCCCUGAGCGGGCUGGCAAGGCGCAU
rnacentral:rRNA from 1 species